rnacentral:rRNA from 1 species
CCCUACGGGACGCAGCAGUGGGGAAUAUUGCACAAUGGGGGAAACCCUGAUGCAGCGACGCCGCGUGAGCGAUGAAGUAUUUCGGUAUGUAAAGCUCUAUCAGCAGGGAAGAAAAUGACGGUACCUGACUAAGAAGCCCUGGCUAACUACGUGCCAGCAGCCGCGGUAAUACGUAGGGGGCAAGCGUUAUCCGGAUUUACUGGGUGUAAAGGGAGCGCAGGCGGCACGGCAAGCCUGAUGUGAAAGCCCGCGGCCCAACCGCGGGACUGCAUUGGGAACUACCGGGCUGGAGUGCCGGAGAGGUA